rnacentral:misc_RNA from 1 species
AUGAAACUUCUCAAAAAUCAUUUCUUCCAGCCAUUGUGUUAUGGGCCUAAAGAUCACAACCCAAACUGAUUAUGGGCCUAACCAAAACAGAUUUGGCCAGCCCAAGAAUUUUUUUUCUUCUCUAUUUUCUACUCGAAAAUACAAACAAUUACCACGAAAAUUGUUACUACGAUAUCAAAAUUUAGUACGAUCCAGUUUGUUCUAUCUCUUCGCGUAACAUUUGUGUCCAACGAAAUCUUUUUGCCUCGCCACUUAAAAAGCCAAGCUAUCAUUGUACUGUUGUCUGUCUUGCGCUUGUAUCGUCGUGCUCAACCUCCACGAGUACUUUCGCCUUUUUCUUUGCUUUGGCACUUGGAUCAUCUUUCUCAGCUCUUCUUCUAGCUAAAGCAGAAUCUUUUCUACCACUCUUCCGAUGAACUGUAACAGCCUCUUCGUCAUCGUCAUCGUCAUCCAUUCCGGUAUCAGCAUCCAAGCCAUUGUCUCUAAUUCCAAAACCAUCAAAAUCUUCGAUGUCGUCUUCUUCUUCAAGAUCUUCAUAGCCUUCAACAUAUUCUACUUCAACUUCCUCCUCGUCUUCUUCUUCACUAGCCACUUCCUCUGCUUCCCUAGCAAGAAUCUCUUGAUACUUCUGCUCAGGAACAUUGUAUAUAUCGCCAUAAACUCCUUUUGAAAGGCGUUCAAGCAGUUCCUUCUCAAUACUUUUAUCAAGAAGAGCAGCUUUUUCAGCCUUUUCCUGUCGCCGAGAUUCUCUUUUUGUUUCUUUCCUUGGUGUGGUCAUUAUCUUCUCCCUUGUUUUCAAAGCAAGUUUCCUCAUUCUUAUUCGCAUCUGAGUCAUUUUUGUUAAACGUUGUUUUGCCUUGUGCACAAGAAACUUAGGCCAAUACAUCAAAUGUUUAUCAAUGAUUUCAAGAGCCUUUUCGUAAUUUCUUGGCAAUUUAACUCGUUCCCAAAGUUUGUUUGGCAUGUGAGCCCUUUCUAUUGUUUUCAUGUAUAAAUAGAAUACUCCAUCAUGGUCCCGAAUGGUGGCGUACCGGCUAUUAGCCAGAGGACAUGAGCUACGGUUGCAAAUCCCAGUUACAUUAUAUGGGUUUCGACAAAAUAUCCCAGUUUCAAUCUUUGCCAUGAAGCUGCAAUGCUUAUGCCUGAUAACUUGCCAUAUAACCUCAUCAUGUUGCAUCUUUAAUCACUUCUAAACCUAGUUACAGACAAAUUCAAACCUCAGUAAUAGUGAAUCGCUCAAUUUCGAGAUGAAUUUCUCCCCAAUUACUGCAGCUCUACUGGCA